rnacentral:rRNA from 1 species
AUUGAACGCUGGCGGCAGGCUUAACACAUGCAAGUCGAACGAGUGGCGGACGGGUGAGUAAUGCUUGGGAAUCUAGCUUAUGGAGGGGGAUAACUACGGGAAACUGUAGCUAAUACCGCGUACCAUAGGCUGAGCCCAAGUGGGAUUGGGUAGUUGGUGGGGUAAAGGCUCACCAAGCCGACGAUCUCUAGCUGGUCUGAGAGGAUGACCAGGCACUCGGAGACUGAUACACGGCCCAGACUUCCACGGGAGGCAGCAGUGGAGAAGAUUGCGCAACGGGGGCAACCUGACGCAGGCAUGCCGCGUGAAUGAAGAAGGCCUUCGGGUUGUAAAGUUCUUUCGGUUGCGAGGCGUUAACUACAGAAGAAGCACCAGCUAACUCCGAGCCAGCAGCCGCGGUAAUAC